rnacentral:rRNA from 1 species
GAUGAACGCUGGCGGCGUGCCUAAUACAUGCAAGUCGAGCGAAUGGAUUAAGAGCUUGCUCUUAUGAAGUUAGCGGCGGACGGGUGAGUAACACGUGGGUAACCCGCCCAUAAGACUGGGAUAACUCCGGGAAACCGGGGCUAAUACCGGAUAAUAUUUUGAACUGCAUGGUUCAAAAUUGAAAGGCGGCUUCGGCUGUAACUUAUGGAUGGACCCGAUGCGCCUUCGAUAGUAGGCGAGGUAACGGCUCACCAAGGCAACGAUGCGUAGCCGACCUGAGAGGGUGAUCGGCCACACUGGGACUGAGACACGGCCCAGACUCCUACGGGAGGCAGCAGUAGGGAAUCUUCCGCAAUGGACGAAAGUCUGACGGAGCAACGCCGCGUGAGUGAUGAAGGCUUUCGGGUCGUAAAACUCUGUUGUUAGGGAAGAACAAGUGCUAGUUGAAUAAGCUGGCACCUUGAUGGUACCUAACCAGAAAGCCACGGCUAACUACGUGCCAGCCGCCGCAGUAA